rnacentral:rRNA from 2 species
GACGAACCGUGCGAACGUUGUUCGGAAUCACUGGGCUUAAAGGGAGCGUAGGCGGGCUAUCAAGUCUGGGGUGAAAUGUCGCGGCUUAACCGCGGAACUGCCUCAGAUACUGACGGCCUCGAGGGAGAUAGGGGCAUGCGGAACUGUAGGUGGAGCGGUGAAAUGCGUUGAUAUCUACAGGAACUCCGGUGGCGAAAGCGGCGUGCUGGAUCUCUUCUGACGCUGAGGCUCGAAAGCUAGGGGAGCAAACGGG